rnacentral:rRNA from 1 species
CACGCAGGCGGUUUGUUAAGUCAGAUGUGAAAUCCCCGGGCUCAACCUGGGAACUGCAUUUGAAACUGGCAAGCUAGAGUCUCGUAGAGGGGGUAGAAUUCCAGGUGUAGCGGUGAAAUGCGUAGAGAUCUGGAGGAAUACCGGUGGCGAAGGCGGCCCCCUGGACGAAGACUGACGCUCAGGUGCGAAAGCGUGGGGAAGCAAACA